AAUGCGUGAGAAGGCGCGUAAGAACCUACCCUUGGGAGGGGAACAACAGCUGGAAACGGUUGCUAAUACCCCGUAGGCUGAGGAGCAAAAGGAGGAAUCCGUCCGAGGAGGGGCUCGCGUCUGAUUAGCUAGUUGGUGAGGCAAUAGCUUACUAAGGCGAUGAAUUACCUGCUCGACUAUAUUGGAAUAUGUCCAGUUUUCCGGCAGGGA
rfam:Phaseolus vulgaris cultivar G19833 chromosome 7, whole genome shotgun sequence.